GUGUGUGUGUGUGUGUGUGUGUGUACGUAAAGCUGUGAGUUCACCUGAUUCCGAGAAACAUCCACUGGAGGAGUGACCCGCAUAUCGACUCGGGCCGCGCUCCUGCGAAAGUGUGCGAAGCAGCGAGUGUCAUGUGACUGUCACCCCUCUGUCCACACCGCAUGACCGAGUAAACGGAAGUCCUAUAGAAACAGCGCUCUCGCCGGGGAUUCUGGACUUCACACUCCUGUGUGUCACUGUCUUAUGCACUCACUCCGGACUCAGCAGGAGGGCUGCCCCUCCUCUCCCGCCACCUGCGGAUUAAACAAGCUGACGUGAAUGUGCUGAAAUCAUAAGCCAAGAUGCACCUCAGGCUCCCAGACUGGCCGGUCGGACAGACGGACGGACGGCACGUUCACUCCCAGGUGCUGCCAUUCACAGCGACGCCCGUGCUCCGCGUCAGGUGACCUCUCACGCCUUCCCGUCCCCACGGGUUCUGGGAAACCGAGUCAGAGGGCAGCUUCCUGUGCCCACCACACACACACACACACACACACACAGUGUGUCUGGUGAGCUCCGGGCAUUAACACGACUCCUGGGAGAGAACAUUCGUUUCUUUUCUUCUUUUCAAAGCUGCUGCGCCGGUUUCCCUCCCACCCGCAGUGGGCGGGUCGCCUGACCUCCUCUGCACUUGUGAUGUCAGCUUUGUUAUUUCUGCCCAUCCGGUGGGUGUGUAAUGACACCUUGUGUUUUAACUGAUGUCUCCCUGGUCCCUGGUUCCUGGUGGGAUUGACCAUUUUUUUCAGAUGUUCACUGGCUAUUCAGGCUUUAUGGGUUUUGUUUGUUUUUAUUAUUUCUGACCCUCUCCUGAGGUUAUGUUUUUAUUCAUUUUUUAAAAUAUAUUGUUAGUUAGUUAAUCCUCACCUGAGGAUGUUACUACAAACAGCAUUUUUAAAAACCCCCUCAUUCUACCAUAACCCUUUAAUAUUCUAAACUAAGAUUCCAAUUCAAGAUUGAAAUUCAUCUAAUUCAAAACCAGGGACUAAUUUUCAUCGAAGGCCCACUCCAACCUAACUUAUUAAAAAAAAAAAAAAAAA